GUAGGGAAUAUUGGGCAAUGGAGGCAACUCUGACCCAGCCAUGCCGCGUGCAGGAUGACGGCCCUCUGGGUUGUAAACUGCUUUUAUACGGGAAGAAAAAAUACUACGUGUAGUAUACUGACGGUACCGUAAGAAUAAGGAUCGGCUAACUCCGUGCCAGCAGCCGCGGUAAUACGGAGGAUCCAAGCGUUGUCCGGAUUUAUUGGGUUUAAAGGGUGCGUAGGCGGAUCUUUAAGUCAGUGGUGAAAGCCUGCAGCUUAACUGUAGAAUUGACAUUGAAACUGAAGAUCAUGAAUGUGGUUAAAGUAGGAAGAAUGUAUCAUGUAGCGGUGAAAUGCUUAGAUAUGAUACAGAACACCGAUAGCGAAGGCAGCUUGCUGAACCAUUAUUGACGCUGAGGCACGAAAGCGUGGGGAGCGAACAGGAUUAGAAACCCCAGUAGUCC
rnacentral:rRNA from 1 species